rnacentral:rRNA from 1 species
CGCCUUGCCAGCCCGCUCAGAAACUUAAAUGAAUUGACGGGGGCCCGCACAAGCGGUGGAGCAUGUGGUUUAAUUCGAUGAUACGCGAGGAACCUUACCUGGGCUCAAAUGUAUGUUGACGUAUUCUGAAAGGGAUACUUCUUCGGACAAUAUACAAGGUGCUGCAUGGUUGUCGUCAGCUCGUGUCGUGAGAUGUUGGGUUAAGUCCCGCAACGAGCGCAACCCUUGCCUUUAGUUGCCAGCAGUUCGGCUGGGCACUCUAAAGGGACUGCCGGUGUUAAACCGGAGGAAGGUGGGGAUGACGUCAAGUCCUCAUGGCCUUUAUGACCAGGGCUACACACGUACUACAAUGGCCGAUACAAAGGGCAGCGACACUGCGAGGUGAAGCCAAUCCCGUAAAAUCGGUCUCAGUCCGGAUUGGAGUCUGCAACUCGACUCCAUGAAGUUGGAAUCGCUAGUAAUCGUGGAUCAGCAUGCCACGGUGAAUACGUUCCCGGGCCUU